rnacentral:lncRNA from 1 species
AGCAGAUACACUCCAACAUCAUUGGUAUCUUAUUACAAAGAAGGCAACAAAAUGCAGGAAUUAGUGAGCUGGGGUGAUGCUGGUGUCUAAUGGGGCAAGUCAAAGUGGGUCAAGCUGGAUGCCACUGUCACCUACUGAGCCAGCCAGCUCCCCCAGCACCCUAUUAACCCUGACCACUGGACCAAUCACUGCCUCUGGCAGAAGGAUAUGGACCCUAUCCCUGAGGAAGCCACUAUGGAGGAAGGGACAGGGGAGUGCACAGAUGGAAAAUCAAGGCAGGAGCACGAGGGUAACUCGCCCAAGGUGAGAAGACAAGAGACAACUGGCACACACCUGGCACUCACCUGGUCCCCAGCCACGCUUCAUGCUCAGAAGCCGCCUGUAUGGAGAACUGACAUUGUCACAUUCCAGCCGGAAAAGCGUCACCCAAACCAUGCCCCCGCCUCUUCUGCCUUUCUUCUCCCUCAAGCUCCCAAGGACAGACCUGUGUUUGCCCACCCAGGAAGCCUCCCACCUGCAGCUGAACACUUGGCUCACUCUGUUGCUGUGCUCACCUGCAGGGGCAGAUGGACCCGUCCCAGGUUUCAUUCAGAUGUCAAGACAAGCCUGGUGCCCUGGCACAUGCCUAUCAUCCUAGCACUUGGGAGGCUGAGGCAGGAGGAUCACUGUGAGUUCAAGGCCAGCCUGGACUACAUAGCAAGACCC